rnacentral:rRNA from 1 species
UACAGAGGUCCCAAGCGUUGUUCGGAUUCACUGGGCGUAAAGGGUGCGUAGGCGGUUGGGUAAGUCUGACGUGAAAUCUUCAAGCUUAACUUGGAAACUGCGUCGGAUACUAUUCGGCUAGAGGAAUGGAGGGGAGACUGGAAUUUACGGUGUAGCAGUGAAAUGCGUAGAUAUCGUAAGGAAGACCAGUGGCGAAGGCGAGUCUCUGGACAGUUACUGACGCUGAGGCACGAAGGCCAGGGGAGCAAACGGG